CUGAUGUAACAGCCUUGGGAAAGAGGUUGCAGUGAAAAGCUGGUCCUGCUGUGGUGGAGAGAAUGGAGGAAAGAUAAUAAAAGGCCAAACCUUUGCUCAAACUUUCUCCUCAGCUUCCCUUUGGAUCUGGAAAGCUGGGGACCCACAUGGCAGAGCCAUGGUACUGGAGGAGCCAUUAACAAAGCUUUCAAUAAACCUCUCUUUCUUGACGCUACCUGAGAAUGGAUCCAUUCCUUGCAACUGAAGAUUCUAAGGAACUGGGUUUCUCAGCAUACAAUGGGAAUGGUUGGGAGGAGGUAAAGAGUAGAAGACAGUAUCAAGAAUCCAGAGCCAAGCACCCAUAGUCCUAUUUGGAUUCCUUGAGCCCAGGAGUUUGAGUCCAACCUGGACAACAUAUUGAGACCCCCAUCUCUCUAAAAAAAGAGAAAGAAAGGAAGAAAGAAAAAAGAUAAAGAGAGAAAGAAAGAGAAAGAAAGAAAGAAAGAAAGAAAGAAAGAAAGAAAGAAAGAAAGAAAGAAAGAAAGAAAGAAAGAAAGAAAGAAAGAAAGAAAGAAAGAAAGAAAGAGAAAGAAGGAAAAGAAAAGAAGAUUGUAGCUAGGGGAAGAGUAGGUGAAAAGAUGAACAACGUGACCUGGAAGAUUUCCUAAUCUCACCAGAGCCUGGCUCUAGCUUAAGUCUUUAAUAAAAACUUGACUGAAGGUACCAAGCUGUGCUGAAGUGGAAGCAAAGUUCUCCAAACUCCAGCAUGGUAGACAUCAGUGGUGGUAACAAAGGACAGACCCCAAGGCAAGGUGAACCUCAAAAAUGGAACCUCGAGUCUAUGCAGUCCAGCUGCCCUCCCCACCAGAAAGUCCUUGUUCCAACCCAACAUCGGUUCCUCUGAGUUUGGUUACUAGAAAUGAAGGAAGAAUUUCCUUGUAAAAAUAUAGACAGAGCAGUCCCUGGCUUUCUCCUCUUGCAGGAAGGAGGGAUUCUCCCAUUCCAUACCAUCUUUCCCCCACAUUGGCCCCAGAAAUACUUAAUUCGACUAUGUGAAAAUAAAGAUUGUUUUUUGUUUGAGGGCAUAGGGAUCCAUUUAUCCUUAUUCUUUAUGAGGCACUAAAUUAGCUUUGUAUGUUAUUAAAUGUGUCUCAUCAA
rnacentral:lncRNA from 1 species